rnacentral:tRNA from 1 species
GGUUGUGGCUCAGUGGUAGAGUGCUUGCCUAGCACGUGUGAGGCCCUGGGUUCGGUCCUCAGCACCA